GCGGGUAUAGUUUAGUGGUAAAAGUGUGAUUCGUUCUAUUAACCCCCAUAAUAGUUAAGGGGUCUUUCGGUUUUAUUCAUAUUCCGAUCAAACGAUGCGGGUUCGAUUCCCGCUACCCGCUC
rnacentral:tRNA from 1 species